rnacentral:lncRNA from 1 species
UAUCCAUGAGCAGUGGGAAAAGGCUAAUGUAAGCAGUCCCCACCGGGAGUUCCCCCCUGCUACCGCCAGAGAGGUGGACCCACUCCGGAUUCCUCCACACCACCCACACACCAGUCGGCAGCCUCCCUGGCCUCGGAGAGGUGGCAUGAUUGUGGAUCCCCUGAGAUCUGGCUUCCCAAGAGCACUUAUUGACCCUUCCUCAGGCCUCCCGAACCGACUUCCUCCAGGCGCUGUGCCCCCAGGAGCUCGCUUUGACCCCUUUGGACCCAUUGGGACCAGCCCACCCGGACCUAACCCAGACCAUCUCCCCCCGCCGGGC